CACCGUAGCUCAACGGCAGAGCAUUCGCUUCGUAAGCGACAGGUUAAGGGUUCAAAUCCCUUCGGUGGCUCUCCA
rnacentral:tRNA from 1 species